UGCUACUACUUACAAAUUGUUUCCCAGGACACUUCUUUUUGAGGCCCCCAGAUGCCGCAUCAGUUCUGGAUCGGAGUGCUCAUCGCCCACCAUGGUGGGGCCCACCUCCUGCAAGUUGCUUGAGGAGCACUGAAUUCCCAAGCCUCAGGCUUCCAGAGUGCUUCCGGAGGUCUGGGAAGGGGUCCAGGAGUCUACAUUUUAACAACUGCACAGCUGACUGGUUCUUAAACCACUGCCCUGUGGCACUGCCGAGACCUCUCCUGCCCAGUGGUGAGCCCAUCUGUUAUUUCCUGCAUCCCAAGGGAGCUGUGUACCCUCUGAUGGAUCACCCAAGCACUGGGGAGUGGGAAGGGGCAGAGGAGCAUCCUGCUACCCAGGUUGGGAACCCGGUCAUAUUAUUCUGAAGCCAGAUGGGGACUCAUGGAGCAACCAGCACCUUCUUUUUGCAGAGGAAACUGCGCCCAGGGAAAGGGGCGUGGUUUCUGACUGUUGAAUGGUGUUCUCCCAUCUCUAACCCCAUGGGCUGUCUCGGGUUCUUUCUUCUCUUCCUUUUCUAAGGUCUCAGGAGAGCUCUUCCUGGAAGUGCCUAAGGGUGUAGCUAGUGGGCCACUCGGCACAGGGGUCUUGGCGUCUUAGCACAUCCUUUAACAAACCUCUCUCCCUCAGGUUAGGCCACUCCCACUCCCCACUCCCUGGCAGAGUGGCUCUGUGUGGGGCAGUGGGUGCUGCACAUGUGAGACCAGGACUUCCUGGGUCCCUCCCGAAGGCUCCCGACCUCCCGCAGGCAGGUAGGACCGGAGCCACAGGCGCCCGGAGCUCGCUGGGUGGUGGGGACGCACUCACCUGGCCCCCUUCGCGGCGCUGGAGUCGCCGGGCUGCCAGAGCUCUCUGAGUCCCUGGAUCCAGGCUAAGUCCAAGACCCAGCCUCCCUCCCGGCCGCCCAGGGGGGCGUGUUCCGGGCGGCUUCCGGGUCCGGCCACGCGCGGGCGUCGCCCGGGAGGGAGGCGCCGAGAUGCGGUCUGCAGCGCCCCCCGACCCCUGACCCGGGCCGAACGCCAACUCCCAGGGAUGGCCAGCGGGUACUCACCAUGCGGAUCUGGGUGCUGAUGAGCAGGUAAAUCUGUAAAGGAACUGAGCGCUUGGCUGAGUGCCAGGCCUGGAGAGACUUAAACCAACGGAAUCUGGCCGUCGGUUCAGAGAGUUUCCGGCGAAGCUGGAGAGACUCAGCGCACGUGUAAGAGCUCAUAAGGCAACACCUGGGGGCCAAAGAAACUUCUGCGCACCAGCCACCAAAGAGAGUGCAGCGAGUUCACCUCCACGCGUCUACGCCUUCAUCUGAAUGUAUCAAAGUCUGACAACUGAACAUUCUUUAUCUGCCUUGCUGUGAUUGGUUCUUUAAAAAGAAAGCAAGACAGUGGGAUGAAUUGGGAGACUGGGAUUGACAUACAUACAUUAAUAUGUAUAAAAUAGAUAACUAACAAGAA